rnacentral:lncRNA from 1 species
AGAAAAUAAACAAAAACAUAAAAAAAAAACUGUAUUCCAAAUUCAAAAAUUAAGAAAAACAUUUUGGUUUGAAAAAUUUAAUUGGUUUAUAUCAUCAGAAAAAUAUUUAGUAAUAGCAGGAAGAGAUGCUGUACAAAAUGAAAUAUUAUUUAGACGAUAUUUUCAAAAAAAUGAUAUUUUUGUACAUGCAGAUGUACACGGGGCAGCUUCUUGUAUUAUCAAAAACCCAUAUAAAGAUAAACCAAUUCCCGAAACUACGCUUUUAGAAGCUGGACAAUUUGCAUUAUGUAAAAGUUCUGCUUGGGAUAAUAAAACAGUAGCAUCUGUAUGGUGGGUAUAUUAUAAUCAAGUUAGUAAAUCUGCACCUACAGGAGAAUAUAUUAAAACUGGAGCAUUUGUAAUUAGAGGUAAAAAAAAUUAUCUACCAUAUAUUAAAUUAGAGAUGGGGUUGUGUAUUAUAUUUCAAGUUGAUCCUUUAUCAAAUAAUAAUGAGGGGAACUCUUUAGAGGAUUUAGAGAAAAAAACUGUGGAACCUGACAGUUAUAAUGAUGAGGAGGGUUUUAAUGCCAAUUUAUGCGACAAAUAUGGUACUUUUGCAAACUUUGAUACUUCGAAUGCUGGCACUGCUACAACAACUUCUACUACUACAGCAGCUGCCACUACUACAACAGCUUCCAUUACUACAGUAACUGACACUACUACAACAGCUCUCACUACCAUAACAGCUCCCACUACUACAACAGCUCCCACUACUACAACAGCUCCCACUACUAUAACAACCCGUAGCAACACUAAUCAAAACACAAAUUGUACCCAUUUCUAUAUAUAUGAUCAUAAUCAAAUAAAACAAACGAAUGCAAAAACCGGUUUAAAAAAAAUACAUGCAUACAAUAACACGUGCGGUACAUAUUACAAAAAAAAAGGGAAAGAUAUAAAAAAGCAUAAAGGCCAUAACAAACUGUUGAGUUUAAUUUUACAAAAUAGAAAGAUAAUAAUAAAUUUGUUAUUGUUUAGUUUAAAAAAUAUAAAUGACAAAGUAUUUUUUGAUUUAGUAAAAUUAGGUAUUGUAUAUAAUUAUAAACAAUUUUCUGCGAUUGAUAUAUUAUGUAAAUAUUUGGAAUAUCUUCAGUUGUCACAUAUGAAAAAAAAUGAUAAAAAAGGUUAUAUAUUAUCUUUGUUAUUUAAAAAAAAAUAUAUACAUGUACAUAAUAAAUGUUGUCCCCAUGAUGCUUAUAUUUUUAUCAAAAAGGAGUGUAUAAUAUUAUUACAAAUAGCAAUUCGUAACAUGGUUUUAUAUAUAUAUUUUUUUAUGUAUAAAAUAGAUGCAAAACAUAAUGAUCAUAUUUCUAUCAGACGCAUGUCAAAAUUAACCAAGUAUUUACGAAACAAUAAGGUUAUAUUCAAAAAGUUAACUAAUGCUAUAACUUGUUUUUUUCACACAAACUUGUUGUCAGCAAGUCAAAAUAGAAGUUACAAAAACAAGCAAUACAAUAAAGCUAUAUUCAGUGAUAGAUUAAACGACAUAUCAUACAAUACAACUGACAUUUUUAACCAUUAUAAAUCGCUACGUAUUCAAAAAAAAAAUGCACACAUAUGUAACGACUAUACCACUAGCAAUAAUAACAAUUACAACAUCGUAUCGAACAAUUCUUUUUAUAACUGCGUAAAAAAUAAUUUAUUUGAAAUUUUACCAAAUAAAAUAGAAGAAGAUGAUUAUAUAUAUAACAAAAAUAUACAUAAUCUAGUGUUCGUAACAUGUGAAAUAUAUGGUGCACCCUCCCCAUUAGGUCCACCCAUAGUAACAUUUCAAGACGAUGGUGUAGGUGAUGAUUCUAUAAACAAGAUUGACAAUAAUAUAAAUAAAAAAAAAAAAGGUAUAAAAUUUGCUGAUGAUAGUAAUGACAAUAAUAACGUAUCAACUAAUUUUAAUACUACAGAAAAAGAAAAAAAUAAAAAAAUAUCAUUUCUCAUUAAAGAAAAACCUUCUAUUCAUUUGGAAAAAAAAACAAGAACUCGAAAGGCUACAGGGUAUAUAAAAAUGGACGUCAAAAAAUUACUCGAAGAGAUAGGAAGUGAUAUAGAGGAUGAUACAAAACAAUCUGGACCAAAAAAAGAUGACCAUGAUAAUGAUGAUGAUAAUGAUGAUGAUAAUGAUGAUGAUGAUGAGUCAACAAGCGAAAAAAACAAAGAUGAAUUUAUUCCGCAUGUAAGAUUUAAUAAAAGUACAUGUAGUCUUCCUACAAAACAAAGUUUUUCAUCCAGUUCAGAAGAUCUUUAUGAAAAUACUAUGCAAAAAUCAGUAAGUUCUAGCUCAUUUAGACCUGUGCGUACUCGUAAACCUACAGGAUUUGUAAAAGUAGACGUUAAAAAAUUACUUGCUGAUCUAGGAAGUGAUUUAGAAGAUGAUAAUAAUGAUAAUAAUGAUAAUAAUGAUGAUAAUGAUGAUAAUGAUGAAAUUAAAAAUCGUGUAAGAUUUAAUGAAAGUGUUAGUACUGCUCCUAUUAAAAAAAAUGUGUCUUUCAGUUCUAUCGAUGAUCCUAGUGAUUGUUUAGGUGAUGAAAAAAAAAAUACUGUUAAAGUAGGAAGGCCUGUAAGAACUCGAAAACCAACAGGAUUUGUUAAAAUGGACUUAACAAAAUUAUAUGAUAGCAUAUCAAGUAUUGCAAAUAAUGAAGAAACAAAAGAUGACAGUCAAAAUGAAUUGGGUAAAAAAUGUAAAGAUGAUGAAGAAACAAGUAGUGACGAUAAAAAACAGCAUCAGGAGAAGAUAAUGGCAAAUGUAAAAGCUAAUAAAAACGAUUCUACUAUUCCGAUAAAAAAAAAUGUAUCUUUUGGUUCGUUUAGUUCGGAAGAUGGACAACUUGCUUCUGUUGAAAACCAAACGAAUAAACAACCAUCAAGACUUGUUAGGUCAAGAAAGCCAACAGGAUAUGUUAAAAUAGACAUGAGUAAAUUUUUGAAAAGUCUAGGAAGCUAUGAUAAAAACGAUGAUGAUGACAAUAAUAAAGAAAAUGAAGAAACUGAUAAUAACUCAGAAGAAAAUAUGAAUAUAUCAUUCAAAGAUGAAGAUAGUGCAAUUAUGAAAAAAAAAAGUGUGUCCUUUAGUUCGGAAGAAGAACAUUUUUAUGUAGAAAAAGAAAAUAUGCGUGAUAUGCGUAAAUUGCAAAAACAU